CGGGUGCUUGCACCUGGUGGCGAGUGGCGAACGGGUGAGUAAUACAUCGGAACAUGUCCUGUAGUGGGGGAUAGCCCGGCGAAAGCCGGAUUAAUACCGCAUACGAUCUACGGAUGAAAGCGGGGGACCUUCGGGCCUCGCGCUAUAGGGUUGGCCGAUGGCUGAUUAGCUAGUUGGUGGGGUAAAGGCCUACUAAGGCGACGAUCAGUAGCUGGUCUUGAGAGGACGACCAGCCACACUGGGGACUGAGACACGGCCCCAGACUCCUACGGGAGGCAGCAAUGGGGAAUUUUGGACAAUGGGCGAAAGCCUGAUCCAGCAAUGCCGCGUGUGUGAAGAAGGCCUUCGGGUUGUAAAGCACUUUUGUCCGGAAAGAAAUCCUUGGCUCUAAUACAGUCGGGGGAUGACGGUACCGGAAGAAUAAGCACCGGCUAACUACGUGCCAGCAGCCGCGGUAAUACGUAGGGUGCGAGCGUUAAUCGGAAUUACUGGGCGUAAAGCGUGCGCAGGCGGUUUGCUAAGACCGAUGUGAAAUCCCCGGGCUCAACCUGGGAACUGCAUUGGUGACUGGCAGGCUAGAGUAUGGCAGAGGGGGGUAGAAUUCCACGUGUAGCAGUGAAAUGCGUAGAGAUGUGGAGGGAUACCGAUGGCGAAGGCAGCCCCCUGGGCCAAUACUGACGCUCAUGCACGAAAGCGUGGGGAGCAAACAGGAUUAGAUACCCUGGUAGUCCACGCCCUAAACGAUGUCAACUAGUUGUUGGGGAUUCAUUUCCUUAGUAACGUAGCUAACGCGUGAAGUUGACCGCCUGGGGAGUACGGUCGCAAGAUUAAAACUCAAAGGAAUUGACGGGGGCCCGCACAAGCGGUGGAGCAUGUGGUUUAAUUCGAUGCAACGCGAAGAACCUUACCUACUCUUGACAUCCAGAGAACUUUCCAGAGAUGGAUUGGUGCCUUCGGGAACUCUGAGACAGGUGCUGCAUGGCUGUCGUCAGCUCGUGUUGUGAAAUGUUGGGUUAAGUCCCGCAACGAGCGCAACCCUUAUCCUUUGUUGCCACCGGUUCCGCCCGGGAACUCAAAGGAGAACUUGCCAGUUGAUAAACUGGGAGGAAAGUGGGGGGAUAAACGUCAAGUCAUCAUUGGGCCCUUACAAAUUAGGGCUUACACACGUGGCUAAAAUAGGCGGUAUACCAAAAGAAAAACGAAACCUCGCGAAGGCGAAGCGGACCUCAUAAAGUACGUCGUAGUCCGGAUUGGAGUCUGCAACUCGACUCCAUGAAGUCGGAAUCGCUAGUAAUCGUAGAUCAGAAUGCUACGGUGAAUACGUUCCCGGGCCUUGUACACACCGCCCGUCACACCAUGGGAGUGGGUUGCCCAAGAAGUAAG
rnacentral:rRNA from 1 species